rnacentral:lncRNA from 1 species
AUGUGCAGACAUUACAGACUGAGCUCACAGCUGGGUCUGCUGGGGUCCGCAGUUACAAAGCCAAGCACUGCAGAGGUCUGCCUAGGAGCAGAAAGUAGGGGAACACCAAUAGAUUCACAAUGGAGCCAACCUGUGCUCGGCAAAACACAGCAAACACAUCAUUCUCUCCUGGUUGAACCCUGCAGGAACUGCAUAACCGAGCUCAAAUUAAGACUUGUUUCACCCACCCACCCAGCCCACCCCCACUUUUAUUUUUGCUUUCCUUGUACUUCAGUUUCCACAUUCCUCAUAUCACACUGUUCCAACAGCAGAUCACUGCUAAAAGCACAAACACAGGAUAAUCAAUACAAGUUUCUAUCCCACCCAGCAGGGCAGCAGCAGCACAAGGCUCCGGGCAGACCCCCAUUCAGAACCCAACGCCAGCUUCUGCUUCCUGCCCCCGGCUAUAAAGAGCCCAGCAGUCGCUGCACUCGGAGCAGCACAAGGGGCACUCAGCGGCUUUCCGAGGCUGGGCAGCCCGAGCGCACCGGGCAGCGCACCAAGGCGCUGGGAACAGCGCUAAGAACAAAGCACGGGAACCCUUUGUCUCUCGCUGCACCUACUCACGCAGUGUCUCAACGACGCAACACAGCAGGGAUCAGACCAAACAUUACACCGCAAGGACAAGCAAAUCAGCCCCGCAGGCGCAACCUCCCGCAGGGCAGCACCGAUGAGACAGCAAGGUCAGAAGGCCGCGGUGGCCGCGUCCCGCGGGGUACGGCCGGGCUGACAGCCGGCACCACCCGCACCGCUCGCCUCGGCCCCGCAGCCGCCGCCGGACGCCCGCACCGCCGCCCUGGGCCGCCCCCGGCCCCGCACUCACGCAGCCGCCGCCGCUCCGUGCCGCCGCCUGGCACCGCCCCCGGUCGCCCAGGGGCCACGUGCUUCGGGGUUCGCCCUCCUCAGGCCGCCAGCGAAAGCGAGGAGAGCUCCGUCUCCAUCCCUAAUCCCUUCUUAUCCUCGUUAGGACUUUAA